AGGGCACCACCAGGAGUGGAGCCUGCGGCUUAAUUUGACUCAACACGGGAAAACUCACCUGGCCCGGACACCGUGAGGAUUGACAGAUUGAGAGCUCUUUCUUGAUUCGGUGGUUGGUGGUGCAUGGCCGUUCUUAGUUGGUGGAGUGAUUUGUCUGGUUUAUUCCGAUAACGAGCGAGACUCUAGCCUACUAAAUAGUUACUGGAUAAUUGCGUCCAGAAGACUUCUUAGAGGGACAAGCGGUGUUCAGCCGCACGAAGCUGAGCAAUAACAGGUCUGUGAUGCCCUUAGAUGUCCAGGGCUGCACGCGCGCUACACUGGAGGAAUCAGCGUGCUGUAACCAUUGCCGAAAGGCAUUGGUAACCCCUUGAAAAUCCUCCGUGAUCGGGAUCGGGAAUUGCAAUUAUUUCCCUUGAACGAGGAAUUCCCAGUAAGUGUGAGUCAUCAGCUCACGUUGAUUACGUCCCUGCCCUUUGUACACACCGCCCGUCGCUGCCCGGGACUGAGCCGUUUCGAGAA
rnacentral:rRNA from 1 species